rnacentral:rRNA from 1 species
CUACGUGCCAGCAGCCGCGGUAAUACGUAGGGUGCGAGCGUUAAUCGGAAUUACUGGGCGUAAAGCGGGCGCAGACGGUUACUUAAGCAGGAUGUGAAAUCCCCGGGCUCAACCUGGGAACUGCGUUCUGAACUGGGUGACUAGAGUGUGUCAGAGGGAGGUAGAAUUCCACGUGUAGCAGUGAAAUGCGUAGAGAUGUGGAGGAAUACCGAUGGCGAAGGCAGCCUCCUGGGAUAACACUGACGUUCAUGCCCGAAAGCGUGGGUAGCAAGCAGGAUUAGAUACCCUGGUAGUCCACGCCCUAAACGAUGUCGAUUAGCUGUUGGGCAGCAUGACUGCUUAGUAGCGAAGCUAACGCGUGAAAUCGACCGCCUGGGGAGUACGGUCGCAAGAUUAAAACUCAAAGGAAUUGACGGGGACCCGCACAAGCGGUGGAUGAUGUGGAUUAAUUCGAUGCAACGCGAAGAACCUUACCUGGUCUUGACAU